AAAUUGAAGAGUUUGAUCAUGGCUCAGAUUGAACGCUGGCGGCAGGCCUAACACAUGCAAGUCGAACGGUAACAGGAAGCAGCUUGCUGCUUCGCUGACGAGUGGCGGACGGGUGAGUAAUGUCUGGGAAACUGCCUGAUGGAGGGGGAUAACUACUGGAAACGGUGGCUAAUACCGCAUAACGUCGCAAGACCAAAGAGGGGGACCUUCGGGCCUCUUGCCAUCAGAUGUGCCCAGAUGGGAUUAGCUAGUUGGUGAGGUAACGGCUCACCAAGGCGACGAUCCCUAGCUGGUCUGAGAGGAUGACCAGCCACACUGGAACUGAGACACGGUCCAGACUCCUACGGGAGGCAGCAGUGGGGAAUAUUGCACAAUGGGCGCAAGCCUGAUGCAGCCAUGCCGCGUGUAUGAAGAAGGCCUUCGGGUUGUAAAGUACUUUCAGCGGGGAGGAAGGUGUUGUGGUUAAUAACC
rnacentral:rRNA from 28 species